rnacentral:rRNA from 1 species
CGUACCUUUUGCAGUAUGGGUCAGCGAGUCUAUAGACAU